rnacentral:rRNA from 1 species
AUACGGAAGGUCCGGGCGUUAUCCGGAUUUAUUGGGUUUAAAGGGAGCGCAGGCGGCCUUUUAAGCGUGACGUGAAAUGUAGGCGCUCAACGUCUGAAUUGCGUCGCGAACUGUUAGGCUUGAGUAGACGGAAUGUCGGCGGAAUUCGUGGUGUAGCGGUGAAAUGCUUAGAUAUCACGAAGAACUCCGAUUGCGAAGGCAGCUGACAGCAGUUUUACUGACGCUCAUGCUCGAAAGUGCGGGUAUCGAACAGGAUUAGAUACCCUGGUAGUCCGCACGGUAAACGAUGGAUGCCCGCUGUUUGCUUUUUUAGUAAGGGGCCAAGCGAAAGCAUUAAGCAUCCCACCUGGGGAGUACGCCGGCAACGGUGAAACUCAAAUGAAUUGACGGGG